rnacentral:misc_RNA from 1 species
AACGCACGAGACCUGCGGACCUGCGGAAGGAUCAUUACCGAGUUUACAAAACUCCCAAACCCUUUGUGAACCUUACCUAUCGUUGCUUCGGCGGGAACGCCCCGGCGCCCUCGCGGCCCGGAACCAGGCGCCCGCCGGAGGCCCCAAACCCUCAUGUCUUUAGUGGUUUCCUCCUCUGAGUGACAUAAACAAAUAAAGUAAAAACUUUUAGCAAUGGAUCUCUAGAUCGGAAGAGCACAC